rnacentral:rRNA from 1 species
AUUUUCAUACCACCUUGAAUAUAUCUGAUCUUACCUGAUUUCAGAAGCUAACAGGGUUGGGCUUGCUUUGCACUUAGCUCAGAGACCACUAAGGAGUAUAAGGACCUCUAAAUA